rnacentral:lncRNA from 10 species
GGACUAUUUAAUAAUAAGGAAAAUAAGUGCAUUUGAAGCCAAUCUCUCUUAAUUCAAAGCUCAUUUCCAUAGUGACCCAUUUGGAUCAGGAGUGCCUGACAUUCGCAUCUGGGAUCCUGACACCAUUGAUAGAAAACAGCCCUCAUGCUUGCUGUGCACUAUGACUCACCGGGUAUUGUCAACAUCCUUCUUAAGCAAAAUAUUAAUGUCUUUACUCAAGACAUGUAUGGACAAGAUGCAGAAGAUUACGCUAUUUCUUGCCGUUUGACAAAAAUUCAACAACAAAUUUUGGAACAUAAAAAGAUGAUACUUAAAAAUGACAAACCAGCAACUCGUGGCAGCCAUUGAUGUUUACUCUGUCUUCAUAGUUUUACUUUUUUCAGAAGAGUCACAUAGUUGGAAUAAUACUGUGGAUAUAUUUUUGAAUAUUAAGAAAAUUAAAGCUCCAUGGCAAUUGAAGGACCUCCUGCAAAACAUCCUUCCUUGAAGCCUAGCACUGAAAUGGAAGAUCCUGCUGUGAAAGGAGCAGUACAAAGAAAGAAUGUACAGACAUUGAGAGCAGAAAAAGCCUUACCAGUGGCUUCAGAGGAAGAGCAACAAAGGCGUGAAAGAAGUGAAAAGAAGCAACCACAGCUAAUUUUAGAACAUGCACUCUGACAGAAAAGACAUCUGAGAAACAAAACAAGCAAAUUUGUUUUCCUUUUUGCACCUGCCAAAAAAAAAAAAAGAAAAGCCUCAAGAACCAGAACUGG